CUGCAUGGUACCCUCAAAACAAGGGUAGUAUCUGUAUCUUAAAGGCAUGACAAUGACUGAACGUGCCGACCACACGGAAACUACAGCAAAUUCCAGCCUAAGUAACCCUAUAAGAAGGUGUCCUUUAUCGUUCCUGGUUCUCCAUCUUCUUCUUUCUAUCUAUCUUCCAUGAUUUUCUUCCCAGAACUCUUCCUCAGUUUCUCUAGCCUAUCUGUAAUGGAGGAAAGAGUCAGCACUGAAGUAGCUGUACCACAGAUGAUUUCUUUGAGCAAACGCCAACAGAUCAAGAUGUUGGAUACAAUUGUUGAGGAAGAGUACUAUGAUCUGGAGUUGAUCAAACCUUGCUGUCCCCGACAAUUUACAGAUCAACUUCUAGUGAUGAUCUUGACAUAUCAUGUUAUCGUCAGAAGCAGCUCAUACUGACGGCGGAAUUAGAGACGGAGUUCUAGCUAGAGAUUAAUUAGAAGAGAAUAAAGGGCCAUGAUAUUGAAGUCAUUGUUCAUUCUAGCUACUGCAUUAUGUUUUUUUUUUUGAAGUUGUAACCACCAUUUUAAUUUGUUCUUCUCCUCAUGGAACUUUUUUUUAGCUUCCAAGGAGAUUGCAACAGCUGUAAUUUUCUUUGUUUCAUUGAAGGAAAAUGAGAAAUAAAGGACCAUACUGUUAGAUGGAAAACACUACCGUGCAUCUAAUUCAGAUAAAUACUAGGGAGCAAGAAACAACGUAGCACUUCAGGUUACUCUAUCAGUGUUUUCUCUAACAAAAGGACUAAAAGAAAAUAUGGAAUUAUUGUCCAUGCGCAUGGAAAAGGGAAAGGCCUAAUACGAUCCUACAUGUAACCUUAAACAACUGUUAUCGUAAGCAUUAGAAAUGCACACCCUUUUGCGUCCAAUUGAUUAACUUCAAUUUUUUAUAUCCCAAACCAUUCUAACUCAAUUCGACUCAUACAAGAAUAAUCACAGCUAUCUUAUGCAAUUAGAGAAGCACACCUUCUGUUUCAAUUAGAUUAUCUACUUGAUGAUCUCUUCUCUAAUCAAACUAAUUCAUCCAUUAUGGAUCACACAACAAAAUUAAUAUCAAAUUUAACCGCUUCAGGGAUUAAAACAUCCAAAUGAACACAAGUACACAACAGAAAACUGAAAUGAAAACCUGAAGAUCUUCAGGGAGGUACUCGUGCUUCAUGGACAGGUCCAUGGCGCGCAUCAGGCGAUAGUCAAAGUAUCGUGCUUCAUAAGUGUGUGAAGGUUAUAAUUUCAAUGAUCGUCAAGGCCUUCAUCAAUUAAACUUGAUAAGUGUGUAAGCACGGCAAACAUUUAGGGUUUUCUUCAAUAGAUGUAUUUCUUUACUUGAAACUUGAAACAGUUUGGUUGAGUAUUACUAAUUUGAUUGCUUUUCAGUCCAUAAUCCAGACAAGGUGGUGUCCGGUACGUUCAGGACAAUAAUUCUAUAAAUUCAUAACCCAUCAACUAUAUAGUUUUUAAUAAAUUUAAAACUUGUUGAGGUCUGGUGGCUGGAUUCAAAUUUGCCAACCAACACAAUAGUGUUGGUGGGACCAUCAAGUAAGAAGCUGCCACGUGUAUUAAAACUUAACUAUAGUUAACCUUAGUUAGUAAUAAAAGAAAAUUGAUUUUUUUUAUUUAUGUUUAUUAGUUUAUUACUCUCUCACCUAGACCUCGGCAACUACAGAUCUCUCUCUCCACCGAAAAAAGAACUCCAGACUCUCUUGUCCGUUCCUAUCUCGCUGCCGGAGAAGAAAGCCCCUUCUGUGGGAGCUAGCAUGGGAGGAAUGGGAGGCAUGGAUUACUAGAACUUCAGUAGUUGGAUUUGCCAAAUCCUCUGCUGCUAAUUGUCAAUCCUCUUUAAACAAACGCUAGCUUCGAAUCCCUUUUAGUUUUUCCUGACGGUAUUGUUGGAGGCCGAACAUGAAUGUAAUCAUAGUGAGAUGAGGUUCUAAUCUGUAGGAAGAAUGUAGUGCUAUUAAUUGGUCAGGCAAAAGAUUUUGUUCUCCCCACAUUAGACUUCACAAAGUUCAUAUUUCCAGAAGAUCUCAGUGUCAUUGGUGAACAAUGAUAGUACAAAAAUCUGUGGGAGAAUGAACAGGUAAAUUCCUCAAUUUCUUCUGUAUAACAAUCCUGUGUUUCUAAAUAAAUAAAAAAACAAAAAACUACAGACUCUCUCAUAGAGUCUGAGUGUGAGUCUGGGCAUUAUCUCUCUCCCACUCUCAAAGGCUGAACUUGUUCGAGGAGGAUCGACAACCUUUGAAGACCACCUUUGCUCGCACAACCACCAAAACCUUCCUAAGGUACGAUCCCACUUUCUCUUAGUUGUUUCAAAAUCUGGUUUCUGUGAAUUUUUAAAUCUUAUAUCUUCAAUUUUGAUAGUAUGAUUGAUUUUGGCUCAUUAACUUUGAAUUUCUUAUUGGGUUCUGCAACUAUGAUGAGAACAACAACUAUAAAUUGAAUGCUUGCAAAAUUUCUAUAGUUUCGUAUAGGUCUCCGAGAGAGGGAAAGGAUCAAGCUUUAUACUACUCAAAUUUGCCAGUGUGAAAAUCCAGAACUGAGGUGCUGAGGCUACUCAUUUCUUCAUCUGCGUUUUAUUUUAAAUCUGGCUUGAAGACGAAAAGUGGUUUAGUUAAGUAAAUAACUAAAUAUUAAAAAAUGAUUAUCAUUAGUAUUUAAUAUUGAAAAGAGAUACUAAAUUAACCCCAGUUAGUUCAUGGUUGGUGUUUCACACGUGGCAGCUUCUUACUUGAUGGUCCCAUGACCGGUUGGCAAAUUUGAAUCCCUGGUGGCUUUUGAGUAGUACUUUUCCAUCCCUUCAUCAUGCCUAGUUGCAUGCCUAGUUGCAUGCGGAUUGAUACUAAUCAAUCUCAUCAGCCUACCAAACGUGGGUGCAGUUCAGAACACGGAUUGAAAAAUCGAAAAUAUCUCCAAAAAUUUUAGACAUGUGGCAGUCUAACGUGAUUCUACGUUUUAAUUAAAUUUAGACAUGUAGAUUUUUUAUAAGUAAAAUAUAAACAAAUAUUUUUUAUUUUUUGUGAAAUGACAUUCAUGGGUAUUUAGCAAGUUUAAACUAGGGUCUAGGAUAUAGGGUUUAAAGUUUAGGGUUAGGGUUUAGGAUAUAGGGUUUAGGGUAUAGGGUAUAGGGUUUAGGGUAUAGGGUAUAGGGUUUAGGGUAUAGGGUUUGGGGUUUAGGGCUUAGGGUUUAGUAUUAAAAAAACAACAGAAAACCUAAAAUGGUCUUUGACAAAAUAGCUGAAAUAAUUUUUCGUGAAGAAAAUCUACAUGUCUAAAUUUGAUUGAAAAGUAGGACCACGUCAGACUGCCACGUGGUCCUCCUGUAGCACUGAAAAAUUUCUCUAAAACGUGAGCGCAGUUCAGAACACGGUUUUCGGAGGGUCGAAAUUUCCUCGAAACCCUAUAUUUUGGUCUUUGGUUCAGAUGUUUCCAAAUUUAACUUCAUAGAGUAUACAUGCAGGGACAGAGACUUUGUGUCUGAAAAGCUCCGAAGUCUUCCCUAAACUAUAAUAAUCAAUACUUAAUAGAGAGCAAUCAUGCAUGGCCUCUUUAAAUAUAAGCCUGUGAUGAAGUACGAUAGCAUUGUAAUAGCAUCUAACAAACGAAAAACCAUGAGAGCUUCAAGUUUCUAUGAUUGUUUUUGCUCUCUAGUUUGCCUUACCUUGUGCCUUGAGCAGCUUCAGUUGUUUGCAUUUGCUUCUGCUUCUAUUAAUUCCACUUCUGAAGCAGAGGCUCUUCUCAAAUGGAGAGAAAGCCUUAACCAAACACAGAAUAAUCUCACCUCAUCCUGGACCUAUAAUCCCAGUACUAGUAAUGCCACCAACUCUUCCGGAAACCCAGAAGCAAAUGCAAGCCCUUGCGAUGGUGCUUGGAGUGGUAUUUCAUGCAACAAAGCUGGAAGCGUGACCAACAUAAGCCUUUCCGAUUUUGGUUUACAAGGUACACUGCAUGAAUUCUUGUUCUUCUCCUUCCUUAAUCUUGAAUAUCUGGACCUCAGCUUCAAUAAACUCUUCGAUGUCAUCCCACCUCAGAUCAAUUCCCUCACCAAACUUGUGUAUCUUGAUCUAGGCAAUAAUCAGUUUUCCAGGAGAAUCCCACCAGAAAUCGGUCUUCUAAGAAAUCUAACCUUUCUUAAUCUCCAUGGUAAUAAUCUUUUUGAUACUAUUCCAAAAGAGAUAGGAAACCUGAAAUCUCUCAUGGAGCUAGGAUUGAGCUAUAAUCAUUUCACUGGUUCGAUUCCAAUAUCACUAGGUAAUUUGACAAACCUUACUAUUCUAUAUCUCCAACAUAAUAACCUUUCUGGUUUCAUCCCACCAAAUUUUGCAAACUUCAGAAAGAUUACUGUGUUAUACUUGUGGGACAAUCAACUCUCUGGUUCUAUACCUCCUCAGUUAAGAUACCUGAAGUCUCUAGAAGAUGUAAACUUGAGUAAUAAUCAUCUCAAUGGUUCGAUCCCAGCAUCACUGGGUAACCUCACAAACCUUAAAUGGCUGUAUCUCGGUGUAAACAAUCUAUCUGGGGCAAUUCCUACAGAAAUUGGGAAACUGAUAUCUAUGUUGGGCAUAGAUUUUAGCCGGAAUCAACUGAAUGGUUCCAUUCCCACUUCAUUUGGUGACCUGGCAAACCUUACAAAUCUCUACCUUCGUGAUAACCAACUUUCCGGCUCCAUCCCCCAAGAGAUGGAGAAACUUAAAAAGCUGGCUAUACUGCAUUUGGAUACUAACCAAUUUUCUGGCUAUUUGCCCCAAUAUAUUGGCCAAGGUGGAUCACUCACAAACUUUUCAGUUUCCGACAACCAUUUGAUUGGUCCAAUUCCCAAAAGCUUGAAAACUAGCACAAAGUUAUUCAGAGUCCGACUUGAUGGAAACCAAUUGUCAAGCAAUCUAUCAGAAGACUUUGGAGUCUAUCCAAAUCUUCGAUUUCUAGACCUGAGCAACAAUAACCUGUAUGGGGAAAUCUCAAGUAACUGGGGACAGUGCCCACAAUUGACAACCUUACUAAUUGCAGGAAACAACUUAACUGGCAGUAUACCACCUGAGAUUGGAAAUGCAACCCAAAUGCACGAGCUCGAUCUUUCUUCCAAUGGUUUAGUUGGGAGGAUUCCAGAAGAAAUUGGAAGAUUGACUUCUUUGGUGAAGCUGAAGUUGGAUGGAAAUCAACUUUCAGGUAGCAUACCACCAGAAUUUGGAUCAUUGACCAAUCUUGAAUAUCUUGAUCUAUCCAGAAACACAUUGAACGAAUCAAUUCCAAGCAUUCUGGGUGAUCUGCUCAAACUACACUAGAAUUUGAGCAACAAUAAGUUUGGAGAACGAAUUCCUGCUCACUUGGGGAAGUUAGCUCAACUGUCCCAACUAGAUUUGAGUCAAAACUCAAUCGAGGGAGGGAUACCAUCAGAACUCAGCAGUAUGCAGAGUUUGGAGAUGUUGAAUUUGUCACACAAUAAUCUUUCUGGUUCCAUUCCAACAAGUUUUGGAAAUAUGCACGGCUUGUGAUAUGUUGACAUAUCGUUCAAUGAGUUGGAAGGUCCGCUUCCCAACAACAAAGCAUUUCAAGAUGCUUCUCCAGAAGCCUUGCAAGGGAACAAGGGAUUGUGUGGCAACAUUGAAGAUUUGGAACCCUGCAAUAAAGAUGGCUCAAAAAAGGUCCAUGGCCCGAAACUGGUAUAUGUGAUCCCAUUUUCUCUUCUGGCAUUACUUUUACUUCUAUCUUCCUGCUCCAUCGUAGCAUUUAGAAAAAAGAAGCAUCAGGAUGACCAAAGAAACAACAAGCAUGAAGAGAUUUCUUUUUUAGCAUUAGAAUUUGAUGGCAAGACAAUGUAUGAGGAAAUCAUAAAAGCAACAGAGGAUUUUGAUUCCACAUAUUGCAUUGGGAAGGGAGGACAGGGAAGCGUCUACAAGGUGAACCUGGCAUCUGCCAACAUAGUGGCUGUGAAGAAAUUGCAUCAGUUAUGCAGUGACGAUGAAAAAGUUAAGAAGGAAUUCUUAAAUGAAGUACGUGCACCAACUGAGAUUCGACACCGAAACAUUGUGAAGCUUUAUGGCUUCUGUUCACAUAGGCAACACUCAUUCUUGGUAUAUGAGUAUAUAGAAAGGGGUAGCUUGGCGACAGUGUUGAGCAAUGACGGUGAAGCUCAAGAACUGGGGUGGAGUGAAAGGGUGAAAAUUGUCAAAGGUGUAGCUCAUGCCUUGUGUUACAUGCACCACGAUUGUUUGGAAGCAAUUGUUCAUCGGGACAUAUCAAGCAAGAACAUUUUGCUGAAUGCCGACUUUCAAGCCUGUGUUUCAGAUUUUGGCACUGCCAAGUUCUUGAACCCAGACUCAGCUAAUUGGACUGCCCUUGCAGGCACCUAUGGAUAUAUUGCACCAGGUAAUAUUGGUUUUCUCUGUUUUGUACUUUUGUAUUGAUCACUCUUUUGUGCUCCUGUACACCUGUAGUCUCCUAGUUAAAGUGAUUGGCUUCAGUUUAAGUUUUACUUGGAAAUUAGCAUAGUUAUGAUUCAAUUUCUUUCGACACAGUCCAUUAUAUAAUCAUAAGAUAACUGCUUCUCAAUAUCUAAUUCAAUUUGUGUAAAAUGUUUGUGUGCAGAACUUGCUUAUACAAUGGAAGUGAACGAGAAAUGUGAUGUUUAUAGCUUCGGUGUGGUAACAUUGGAAAUACUUAUGGGAAGGCAUCCAGGAGAGCUCCUCGUACCUCUAUCAUCAGGGUCAUCGACACAGUCAUCUGCAUUACCCAUCCAUCAAAUGUCAAUUUCGGAUGUUUUUAACAAGCGCAUUUCCCCUCCUACAGAUGAAGUUGCAGGGGAGCUGCUCUCUCUUGUGAAGAUAGCAUUUUCAUGCUUGAAUACUAGUCCUCAGUCUCGACCAAAUAUGGAACAAGUUUCUCAACAAAUGGAAACUCAGAGGCUGCAUUUGUCAAAGCCAUUACAGAUGAUAAGAUGUGGUGAAUUGAUAGUUUGACUGCCUGAUAAAUUGGGAAUAACAGAAUGUGCUUCUUUCCUAUACAAAAUCACUAUGUGUGCUUUCCUUUCAGCAAAAGGAUUAUUGUAUCCUUAUUGUAAUUUUAGUUCAUGUGCUUCUGUGCUAUGGCUCAUGUAUGAUAAAACAAGGAAAAAAAAUUCUAUAUUAGAACAAAAUGCACCAACACAAACAUACUAGAAUUUUAGUUUGCCAGAAAUACAUUUCUUUUGGUGAUAGAAAUCAUAGAAUAUAAGGGUAAAUGUUGCUAUGUACAUAUUGCCAAAGAGGCCAAAGCGGGCAAAGCCACAGUAAAGAAGGAAAGUCAAUUUCCUUGAACAAAGACAAAUUGUUAUGUUGACUGAAAUGACAGAGCAUGAGAGGUCAGCACCUGAGUCCUUGGUCAGGAGGUGACAUUGAAGAAACAGUGAAAAGACAUGGCGGUCAGUGUGUGACCAAUGCCGGAGGAUAUAACAUUGUCAGCCAGCUCAGCCUGUUAAAUAAGAAAAUCAGAGAAUUCCUAUUAUAGAAAUCAUGAUUCAUGCCAUGUGAUAAAGGAAACAUGACUAAUGAUCAAAGCCAUUAUGCAGGGUUAUCCAUGAACUGGUAGAGAAGGACACUCAUAAUCAACUGUAUAGAAAGUUAGAAACCAAACAAUAACCAAGCCAAGGAAUGCAAAACUUCUAGGUUUCUAUCUAUACUCUUCAAGAAUCAAUCCUCAGUUUUUUACCACUUUAGCUUGCAUAAACUUAGUAGACCAAGCACAUUUAAUCAUUUCUGAAUGUCAAAACAAAUAAUAAAAAUGGAGUAGCCGAUGGUAAAUGAAAAGUAUUCACUUUCAGCACAAUCUCAAGUUAAAUGUAGAUAAAGUAAAUCAUAAGAGUGACCUUCACAGUCUAAAUCUACAAGAACUGAAAGGGGCCUUAAUAUGGCCACAACAUCAAAAAGAAUAAACUUUCUAUCUUGUUUCCAAUUAAUCUUCACUAAUAUUCAUCUAACUUCCCUACCUCACAGCAUGCUGCAAUGGUUCUUUCUGAGACUUAUUUGGUUUCCCAGUUCGAAGAGCCCACAAGUGGCUAUCCGCGCAGAAUAAUGAUCCGGUACUCAUUCCAUCAUUCAUCUUCCGUCUUCUCUGGUGAAUCAGAAUCAAAAUCCUCCUGCACUGUCUCGGCCAGCAUUUGGCUUUCAAUCGAUGCGCAUUGAAUUGAUUGCAAGAAGUUGAAGUAAGCAUACUUGAUAUCAAACUGCAUAUCAUACCCUGCCAUACAUAAUCAAACCUCAUUAUCUGACCACACAAAAACACUAAUCUGAUCCUAAAAACGCAUUCAGUACUUGAUCCCUUACAGUAAUUAACAGCAAUAGUUCUCCCUCUGCUAUCUGGACUUUGCCUAACAUGAUGAAACCACAUACUUGGCCUGCAUUAACUCCACCACAUCAUUUACACAAAAAUCCACAUAUCAAAUAAAGCAAGCAUCUUUAAUCAAUUCGAAACUCACAGGUACAGCAUCUCUCCUGGAUUAAUCGUACAGCGAAACGGCCUAGGCCCAUUGAAGAACAAAGGAAACUUUUUGAGCUGUUCUUCUCUGUCCUCAGGAGCAGGGUAAGGAUCAACACUAGACCAAGGCACAGGUCUAGCCGGACUUUCCAUCUCCAGCUCGAACUCUCCGGUGACCGGAGAAUGCCUAUACUGCGCGGCCGGGUAUUCCCUUAUGUACAUGCGAUGCACAUCGGUAGGAGGGAGCAGGAGGAAAUGCUUCUGUCCCGUGACCACAGCGUAUAGAUUCUCGUAGUGAUCCUUAUGAAACGACGUCGUAGACCUCUCCUCGCCGAUCCACAUGUUGACGGCCUCCGGCCGGCAGCCUAGGGCUUCGGUGGCGAACGGGAUAUGCGGAUCGCAGUCCGCCGCCAGCGGGGAGUACUCCGACUGGAAGCAAUUGUUCUGCUGCUGCGCGUAGGCGACGAACGACGCGUCGUUUUUGAUGAGGCGGAGCGCUUCCGGGAAGGGCGUGCGCUGCACGUGAGCGGAGGCGAAGCAGAGGGAGGAGGAAGGGGAGGGGACGAGGGAGUCGGCGCGGCCGUGAGGAGUGAGGUGGAGGGAGACGAGGGAGGAGGAGAGGGCGGAGGUGAGGUAGGAGUCGGAGGUCCAGCGGGUGAGGGCCGGCCAGUGAUUGGUGGCGUUGGAGAUGAUGCAGGGCUUGUUUUGGGAGACGAAGUCGCGGAGGAACUGGAGGGGAGUUGGCGGGGAAUCGAGGCGGUCUAGGUCGCCGGAGGUGCCGAGGUUGAGCUCCCGGACUUCGUUCCAGAGCGUCUCUAUUUUUCCCUCCAUUGGAGUUGGAUACUGGGUCGGAGCGAAAGUGAGACCGAGGAGGAAGACGAAGAAGGGUUUAAGAAUUGGGCUAGGCCUCUUUCAAGUCUUGGGUAAUGAUAGAUAGUAGAUCGCGUGAAACGGUCCAAUACGUGUUUUCGGGAAAAUUUAAAGAACAGUGUACAUUAAUUAUUGUCCACUUUUAAUUUAAGUACUUCAACUUUCAAAACUAUCACAAUGGUAUAUGAAUGUAUAAAACCUGCUUAAUUUUAGUACAUACCGUAAUGACUCCGUUACUGAGAAUGGUAAAUCGGUCUUUAUAGAUUAAUUAUUAUUUUAAAUAAAAUUUAUAAUCUAUAUGAUUACCUAAUUUGAUUUGUACACGUUCUGUCUCCUCUUUUACAAAAACCAGAUCGAAAAAAAUUUCCACGACGACAGGGACAUCGAUAACGAUAGGGCACACAACCAGGGGCGUAGCUAGCCUAGGACUAGAGAAGUCAAUUGAUCCCUCUCAAAUUUAAUACAUGUUUUAAUUACCCUUUAUUAUUAUUCAUUAUUAAUAGAAUGAAACAUAAAUGACCAUUUUUAAUUUUGAGAAAAAUCUUAAAUAGGCUUAAAUAUUCAUGAAUAUUAAUGGAAUGAUAUAUAAAUCCAUGUUGUUAAUAUAUGAUUCAUUGAUUCAGUUAAUACAAAUUUUUACCUUACUGAUCGAUAUGUGCUUCAAGCUAGGAUCACAGUUAUUCUCAAAAUUUAUUCAAAAUGAUUUAGUGGUCUUUCAAUAUUAAUAUUAGUAUAAAGGGUGCGUCUAUUGCCACCCCACAAACCACUUUGUUCACCCCACGUUCUCUUCACACCCCACUUAUAUAUUUUUAAUUGUGAGUCUACUUUGUUCACCCGUUUAAAAUACUUAAAAUACCCUUUUUCCCAUUUUUUCUUUGUUCACCCUAAAUUCUUUUUUCACCCUACAUAUAUUUUUUUCAAUUUCANNNNNNNNNNNNNNNNNNNNUUUUGUUCACCCUACAUUCGAUCUCUUCUCACCCCGCCUAUAUAAUUUUUAAUUUUUAAUUUUUAAUUUUUAAUUUACUCUAUUCACCAAUUUGCAAUACACACGAUAUCAGCCUCUUCCAAUGUCAUUGAACUUCAAAAAAAAAUGAAAUUGAAGAAAACCAUAAGAUUAAUAUCAUUUGGGUAAGUGAAAUCACAAACUGAACAAUAAAAAUCACAUUAAAGUAUAAAUCUCAAUUAAAGAAUAAGAAACAACUCUCAAACUUAACAACUCAUUGGUAUCCGUCGAUAUUAAGAUGCACAAUGUCUGUAAACUCUACUUAGAAAAAGCUCUGACGUCAAUGAAAAAAAAUGAAUAUAUAUAAAUGAGCGACUAGACAUGAAAAUUUACAUACCAAAUCGAUAUGAGAAAUAAUGAGUAAAAGAAACAUCAACAAAGAAAAAAAAAUUACAAACAAUUCACCUCAUAUUCAGUUGAAUGCUAGUGUCUUCUUUAGACUUCAUAGAAAUAUCGAAUAUAAUAAAUUCUUGGUUAAGAUUUAUGAAGUACGUGUGUUUAUCUAAAAAAUAAUAAUUUGUAAUUUGUAACAAUUUAUUGUCCCUUGCUGUAAUUUUAUAUUAGGGCAUAUUAGUCAUUCAAUAAAUCAACAACCUGUGGGGUGAGCAAAGUGAUUUAUGGGGUGGCAAUAGAAGCACCCUAGUAUAAAACAUACAAUACUUUUACAUACAGGUUCCUGACAACAAAUUUUUUCUACUAAUUUAUAUAGGACAAGAAAAUUAUAGAAAGCUUGUGUUAUUGUGUUUUUAGGAAAAAAAAAUUGUGCCCUUUUUGUAACGAAUAACCACAAAUUUUACUUUCUUAAUAUAUAAAUUUUGACCAUUCUAAAUUACAAUUCUGGCUACGCCACUGCACACAACCACAACGACGAGAUUCGUGUCUGCAUCUCCUUCGUCUCUGUCACCUCCAAAGUCCUGCUUCGGCUUCUUCCUCCUUUCUGAGGUCCUCAAAGUCCUUGAAUUGUCGAGAUUCAAAGCUCAACAAGUUGGUACCUGGGUAGAGGUUGGGGGCUCCACGAAACAGGUGAAUUGCAUGGUGGGUAGAAUCGAAGCGUUGAUCUGUCUUUUGAAGGUUGGAGUUGAAUUGGCAAAAAGGGAGAUGGGAAUGCAAUAUGCACGCAUACAUGAUCUUUGGUUGAGAAAAAUUACCAAUUGAGUUGCUUCACAAACUACGUUACAGGCCCAUAGAAUUCGAUUCAAUUAUGGAGAUCGGUUUUGGUCUGUGGCGAAUAUAUGGCUGAGUAUUUUUUUUUUUUUUUUUUUAACUAAAUGGCUGAGAUUAUGGUUUAUGAUUUCUUUUCUUUCCAAAUGUCAGUUUCGAUAAUACUGAUGAAUGACAUUUUAGAUAAUUAUGAUUUUUUUUCCUUCAUACUGAUUGCAGCAACUCAAGCUUUGAAUGAAGAUGCAGUCUGAAACAAGGAGCUCUGCUCAUGAAGCAGAAGCAAAAUGGAUUCGCUAAUCGAGAGAGAGAGAGAGAGAUUACUUAAUUAUCUUUUCAAAAAUGAAUAAAAAUAUAAAUUUUAAGAGUGUUAUUAACGGUUGGUACUAAAAGUAUGUCGAGUUGUUCAAGUCAUGUACUAUUGUGACUUUGUGAGAGCAAAUGCGUCACUGCAGUCAAAUGGUAGGGGUAAAAGAAGAGUUUUGGCUCCUAAUUUGUCUUUGCCUUUUGAUUCUUAUGCAUUGUAAGAGCAAGUUCAGCGGUUACCUCUUGACUGGCUUCCAACUAGGCUUGGUUGAGGUGGUGACCAUGAUGGGCUAAAAACUACACUCCACCAGUGAAUUGGUGACCGGCAUCUGUGUGACAAUUACUGACCCAGAUCAAAUAGAAGGUCAAUUUCCUGACCAAAAACCUGACCCAAAGAAGCCGGUUGCCAUGCUAGCCUAAGCCAAAUAAUAGGUGACAGCCAUAUCUAUUUUUGUGUGGUGAUGACUCAACUGAAUAAAGAGUCUUGGGCGGGAACAAAAGUGAUUAGUGAUAUACACGUGUUGGUUUUUUGUGACCUUGAAAUUUAAAUUUCAAGUGAUGCAGGAUCAAUACCGUUGAUUGAUGGCAUCUUCUUCAUUCAAAUCAUAACCCAAAUUUAUAAAUUAGGAAUAAUUUCCUUAUUAAUGUUAUGAUAUGAAUGUUGCAUUAAAAAUUUAUAAAAAUUUCCAUUCUUCUCGAUACAAACAUUAAAAAUUUCCAUUUCUAUUGCAUACAAACAAACAAACAAAAAUUCCACCCAAAAAAUAUUAAAUUAUGUGUGCUUUUAUUCACAUAAAAUAAUCAAUGUAUUUAUGAUAAUCAUUAAUUAUGUCCAUUUUUAUCAUCUACUUACAUCAAUAUAUUUCAGUUUUAUUAUAAAUAAAUCGAUGAAAAGUUUAAUGAACAGUAACUUACUGGUCAAUAAACAUAACGGGUGGAAACACAGGUUCAGUGACAGUGAACAGUGUCUUGACCCAGUGACUUUGACAUUUUGACUCAACGAGUGAACUUGCUUUAAAAGGCAAGACUUUUAAUCUCAACCACAUUUCGUAGGGUUUCUCAGAUUUGCCGUUGCUUGAGUUGCUUCUGCUUCUCUUUCUUUUCCUUUUNNNNNNNNNNNNNNNNNNNNNNNNNNNNNNNNNNNNNNNNNNNNNNNNNNNNNNNNNNNNNNNNNNNNNNNNNNNNNNNNNNNNNNNNNNNNNNGCCCCAUUGCCAUCCCUAAAGAGAAGGAAUCAAAGUAAUAUCUAGGGUUAAAACUAGAAAGUAACAAAAAUGGUGGAUAAAAUAUGAUGUAUUGGAUGACUAGACGAGGAGGCAAAAGCUGCCAGUGGAGUUGAUCGACCAUGAUUUUGAUCGGGCACAAUUCAUGCGCCGCAUAGAUUCUAGGUUAAUUGAGAGGCUAGACCAUGGUCUUGCCUCCUGCGGUGCAUCUGUUCUGAUAGUUUUGAAAGUUGAAGUACUUAAAUUAUCAAUGGACAAUAGUUCCUGUACUGUUUCUAAAAUUUUCCCCAAGUAAUUAAGAUGUUCAAGUGUCAGAAACAUGGUUUGUUCUGCUAGAAAUCAUGAAUUUAUUAAAUGUAAAAUGCUUAAAACAGUAAAGGAGAGGAAGAAUGCUAUGGAGGCUACAUUGUGUCUAACUUGAUUGAGAGAGAAUGAGGUUACAACAAUACAUAUAUAUAGUUAACACCCCCCCAACCUAGCAUAUAGUUAACCCCCCUCAACCAUAUGCUUGGUAUACAACAAGCAUAAUGGUUGAAAAAGACAUGACUAUAGCCUAUUACAAGAUAACACCCAAUUCAUAAACCCACAUGAUAUGAUAAAGACUAGCCUCCAUCUUGAUUUGCAGCAGAUUUACAAAAGAGGAUAGACAGCUUGCUAGAAGAAUCUCAUAGUUCACAUGGUGAGAGCAAAGGCAGUAGAGCAGCAAUAUGUAAUGCAACUUCAGCAGCAUAGCAGCAAUAAAAUAAACUGAAAAAUCUCUUCAAAUUUGACUAAAUUCUGAUAUAGAGAAAGACUGAAAACUGCAUAUGACUGCCACAAAUUUUCUGAUAUUCAUUUGCACACUUCCAGCAACCAUGGAAAAGCACCACCAAGAAUUUUCCCUUAAUCUGAAACUCCAUAUGCACUCCAGCAGCUCAUAACCAACUGAACUCCUCUCUACACUUCUAAUUAAUUAACUCCAACGGAAGUAAACUAAAUCAACCAUUGGCAGUGUAAUCACACAUGUCUUGAACAAACUACUGCAAAGUUCUCUGAUGCAAACACCAACUAAAUGCAACUAAAACCAAAUGACAGAGAAACCAGAAAUAUCUUCAUCAAAUUCAGACAUGCACUGCACACUAAAGUCAUAGAACUAAUCAGUAAUCCAAAUCAUCAAUGCAAACACCAACUAAAUGCAACUAAAACCAAAUGACAGAGAAACCAGAAAUAUCUUCAUCAAAUUCAGACAUGCACUGCACACUAGAGUCAUAGAACUAAUCAGUAAUCCAAAUCAUCAAGCCGUGCUCACCAGUCCACAAACAAAAAGAUAUAAACUGCUUCGUCACCUUUUUCUCUUGGUUGACGGCAAACGUACUUUGAUAAAGAAAAAUAAAACUGGAAAACUGAUGAAUUGAAGCACAAUAAUUGAGAUCACAGACGGAUUUCAUGAGUCAAGCGAGAGAGUUGACUGAAUCAGAAAAGAGCUCUCCAAUGUCUAUGUAAUUUGAGUGAAGCAUGAUAAAGGAGUGCAACAUCAUAAUAGGAACACAGUAUAGCACUCAAACUACUGAUCUCCAAUCUCAGUAUAUUCACCUCAUAAUCUUUGUUCAUCCUGCUCUACUCUCACAUAAUAAGCAGUAAGUUCCCUUCUAAGAAGCAUAAUUAAUCACCAUAUCAUCACUUACUGAACAUCAAUUCUAGAUAGUAAACACCACCUAUUCUUCAAUUCUAGAUAGUAAACAUCUCCCAAAAUAGGCACAACUAGCAUAUGAAGCCACACAAUCAAGUUGCAAACCAAGUCAUCUAGCCAGAAUCACCAGUCCAAAAGAAACAAGAAAAUUCUUCUUCAAACUUUAAACUUCAACUUAAACUUCAAUUAACAAAUGCAACGGACAAAUGAUGAUACUAGGCAGAGUAAUCGAGAUCACAACCUUGAUAGCAUGAUUCCGACAGAUAGAGAUGACCAAAUCGAAAAGAGAUUACCAUAAGAAGCUGAAAUCUGAAGAUUUUGAUGUUUGCUGAUGGGAGUGAUGCAGACCAAUUCGAAAACCAUAUACUUCCCAAACCACCUCGCGAUUAAUCACCUUUGAAGAACAAGAAGAAGCUCAGACCUCGAAGCUAUCACUGUCGAGGCCAUAACUUUCGGCACCCGAAAUGAACACAGACUCGACCUCAAUCGGAGGAGAACAGGUCGAGGAUGGAAGGCGACUAAUCGGGCCUUGCCGGUGACGAAUAACGACUGGGCUUCACUGAUUAAAGACCGAGGAGAAGGAAUUGACUGAAAUUGGGCUAGGGUUUCUGAAAUUGGGGGAAAAUCAAAUUGAAAACGAAAGAAAUUGAUAACAGCGAAAGCUAAAGAUAGAUGAAAGCAUGAAGUCCACAGGAUCAAGAGCCGAGGCUCUGAUACCAUGCUAGAAAUCAUGGAUUUAUUGAACGUAAAAUGCUGAAAACAGUAAAAGAGAGGAAGAAUGUUAUGGAGGCUACAUUGUGUCUAACUUGAUUGAGAGAGAAUGAGGUUACAACAAUACAUAUAGGGCUUAGAAUAUAGAAUGAUGUAAAUGCCCUUGCGACUUAAUUGUCAUAAACCUAGCGUAUAGACAUAUCAUGGCACUUGUAGAAUAUGCUAAACGAGUCUAAUUAGUUGAGCACUUGAGCAUAUGGACAUAUCAUGGCUCUGUAAGUUUGGAAACCUGAUAAACUCUUUGAGCCCUAUCUGAGGGUUGCGACUUAAUUGUCAUAAACCUAGCGUAUAGACAUAUCAUGGCACUUGUAGAAUAUGCUAAACGAGUCUAAUUAGUUGAGCACUUGAGCAUAUGGACAUAUCAUGGCUCUGUAAGUUUGGAAACCUGAUAAACUCUUUGAGCCCUAUCUGAGGGUAUGCUCAGUCAUAUGUGAUAUGUUUUUUUUUUUCAUACUCAACAUGGCUAGUUGGAAAGGUUUUUCUCAGUAUAGGUCUACCAAGAAACUUCCAUGACUAGCUAGCUUGUGUUAUCCAUGAGAAAGAAACGGCUUUCUUUAUGUUUAAGGAAGAUGGAAAUUGUAUAAUGUGUGUGACACUAAAAUGCUAAAUAGGACCUAGUUGUUUUAAUUAUGCUGUUCUAGGGGUUUUUCAUUACUGUUAGACUAUGACUCUUCUUCUCUCUGUCUCUCUCUCUGUAUUAUAUUUCUUCAGGCUGCAGUCUGAUGUUUGUUCCUCUCUUAUUCUCACAAUGUUGCUCCGAAGGGAAAGUUUAUUGCGUUUGUGUCAACGGAAGCGGAAACUGAGCUAAAGCCAGGCCGCUCCCUUUUAGGACCUGUUGAAGAGAUAUUUUUCGAUAUAUAUGACAGAUAUGAGCCGGUCAAUGAACCUGUUUCGGACAAUUGCUUUAUAUCAACUGUGAGUCAUGUUCAAGCCUUGCUUCUGUUUUCAAGUUUUAUAAACGAUAAACACUUGACAAGUGCCUUUUAGAGUUAUGAUGCAACAACACACUUUGAGUCCACUGUCAUGGAUGCACUCAACUAGGGUGAGAAAUUCAAUCAUACUAGGGUGAUUCAGUUCAGCUGUUUUUUCCCAUCAUUUAAAUUCAAAUGGAAAUGCCUUGCUACACAAACUACUUUUGACUAACAAGCCCUUCUUUCUUUUCACUGUCUCCGAGCGUGUAUACUAUCUAACAAGGGUAUAACUAGUUACCAGGAAUAUAUGCUUGAUCGAUCAGGUUCUUGAUCUCAGUGUGGACCUAAGUGCUGCCAGUGCUGCAGAUGAAUGAGUGAAGCUUCCUGUUCUGUUUGCAGCUACAAUAGUCUUUUGUUCCAACUACGUACUGUGUGCUGGGCGCAGGUGGGGACUGAGUCGGACUGUAUGAGGCUUUUUACUUUUAAUCAUAAAGUCCAUAUGUAAUGUAAUGUUUGUUUCUGUUCUUUAACAUCCUUUGAAAGAAAAAGAAAAAAACUUGUCCUUGAAACAUGUCUAGAUUUGAACAUGCACUUGUGGCAACGUUUCAGUUGUGGUUGUGUGGAGGCCUUUAGAUGAUGUGUGCCAUAUAUAUGGCAUAUACUCUCAAGAGAUUUGUUAAUUUCUCUCUGCUAGGCUUGGUCUGCUCUUUGUUUACUAGAAAAAGAGAAGAUAUCCUGGAACUGUCUGUGUUCUAAUAUAUGGUAUGAACUAUAUAUAUGAAGUCAUUCCAUUAUGGGAUAUCUUCCAGAGGUUUACAUUUAGGGUCAUAUACAUGAGAAAUUAGCAUAACUAGAAAUUGGUUUUGCCUGUAUGUUGCACAACAAGCUGUGAUGUGCAUUAUUGAUUCUAAUAAACUUCCAGAAGUAGCCUAGGAGCCAGUGGCAGGGAGAGGAAGAAGUGGCUUGAUUGACAAGAGAACAUAAAUGAAAGGUUAUACAUAUGUAGCUGCUUCUGGUUUCUUCAGAUGAUUUUCUAUCGAUCAUUCAGAUGUACGUUUUGGUGGAUCCAUCGAUUGAAUUUUUAUGCAUGAUCAUUGGUGGGUGGCUGUUGAUGAGGCUGGAUUGCUCCCUCAUGAACGGGAAGUACUUGAGCCAAUUCAAGUUUCCCGGAUGUGGUGUUUGACACAGAAGUUGCCUCUUCUUUGUGCAUUCUGUAAUAUUUGCUGCCAUGUCUGACUUUGCUAGAACCACUACUACUGCCAUCGCCGCCAUCAGUAGCUGCCUUCCUCAAAUCCGCCUGGUGUUUUCUUGCCGAUUUAGCCCACCCAACAAGUCCCUCUUGUACGUGUUCGUCGAAUAUUGCCUUCUUAAAAGAUGUUCCCAUCUAACUCAAUACACAAGUACUCUUAUCAUUAUAUAUACGUCUCUCUGAAAUCUAUUCAGGUUAACUUCGAAGGCUAAUUAUAAUAAGCCAAUUUAUAUAAUCUUUCAACAUUACUCACCUGUGUGACAAUUGCGUACAGUGGCAACGUACUGUAGCUGCAGACGAACUGGACAAACACUCUGAGAGUGGAUAUGAUUCCCCGUACGUAUAUUAAGGAGAGAACAUCAGACGUACAUAGAGAUCGAAAUAGUUAGUAUGUAUAUAAUAUAUAUACACAGUACAAACACACAUCUCUUGACAAGUAUUAAUUAGUAGCUUACCCGAUCACAAGUCUUGGGAUAACGUAACCAAUUUUCCCCAUCAUGCAGGAAUCAAAAUUAUAUUGAACCUGCAUGCAAGAAAUCGAUGGAUCAGCAGUUCUAAUAUUGAUCAAUUAUCAUAUACGUACGUAGAUGUACGUCGUACAGUUACAUACCCAUAUCCAGAAGCAGAAUGCGAGUUCAAAAGAAUUUUGGAACAAGAUGAUAUGAAUGAGUAAGAGAACCAAUCGAGGCCUGCGCAACCAGAAGUGAUCGUCUGAAGGUCGAACCACCAAGUCUCCUUCUAUUGCCAUGUGCUUAUCGGCAACAUCAUGGGCUAACUGGAUUAUAACAUGCUCCAACUUGGUGCCAACAGCAAGUAAAAGCUGUACGUACGUAUAUAUAGUAGAGACAACAAUUAGUAAGAAAUUAAUUAUUUAGAGACAAGAUCACGUACAAUAUAUGGAUCGGUACGUGUAUACUGGAAACGCAGGCAGCCGUGCAUGCGUGUGUGAUUGUGUGAAAAUUAAGAAUUGCAUAUCAUUGAUAAAACUGCAUGUAAGUAGUCAUAAUUAAGCAUCUGUACGUAAUAUAUACACAUACAACACACAUGUAAUACUUAAGUGGUUUUGGAGAGCUUACAAAGAACGGAACGAAUGAUGUCCAGAAAUAGAUAUGCCAACCUGUACAAGAGUGAUAUAUGUUUAGUAACAUCUUAACGUAUACGUACUUGGCUGCAUGGUUUUAUAAUCCCAGCUCUACGCAGGUACGUUUCAAUCAAUUGAUAGGUAGCUUACCAGCAACAUUCAGCAACAAGAAAAGGACUACAAAUAUCCAGAGGUACCAACUGAAAUUCAUUGUUAAAGAGUCAACAUAAGAUAGUAACUAUGAGCUGGUGGGAGCAGCUAAUUAAGAAAUGGGAGAAAUGAAGGGUAAUCUAAUAUGAAUAUUAGCAAGUUAAUUAGGAAAAAAAAUAAUAUAUAUAUAUAUAUAUAGGUCUUUUCAAAUAAGGACAUCCUUACCUUAGCUAAGGUACAAAUUUCUUUAAUUUAACCCACUUUCCGAUCAUAUUUUCUCAUCAUAGCCAUUCACUAUUUAGAUAUACAUGACUUGAUCAUCUAUACAAAAUUUCGGCUAAUUUGAUUAUCGUUAAGGUAUCAAAAAUUAAUUAAAUCAAUAAACGAACCAAAUCUGUUCAUCAUGAACCGUACGUUCUAUUAGUUCUAAAUCACAAAUUAGCUUAAUGAUUAUCAAUUUGACUGAAAAUUUAUAGUGAUGAUCUACUCAUAUAUACUUAAAAUCUGAACGGUUGAGAUGAGAAAAUAUGAUGAAAAACUGGGUCAAAUAAUAAAAUCCGUAUCUGAUCUAAGGUAAGGCCUUACCUGACAAGCACNNNNNNNNNNNNNNNNNNNNGAAUUUUUUUCUUUAAAAGUAUGAGGAGUGAAACGAUGUUAACCCCAAACCUCAGGAAGAUAAACUGAAAUUAAUCAAUAUAUAUAUAUAUAUAAUCUGAGAUUGUAAAUUCUAAAUAUCCUAACAGAUCACCUUAUUCUGACGACUUUCUUGAAAUCUGCUUCGAGGGCACGUACCAUGUACUUGUGGAAAUUAAAAUUUGGAUUUCCCUUGCAAUGUGUCUACAUGAAAAUAUAUACAGAAAACAGAAUUUAAGAUCUGAACAUGAGUAUGUAUAACGUCAGGAAAAAAGAAAAAAAAUCUUCACGAAGCUAAGAAGCAGAUCGAAAGGGCAAAAAAGAAGCAAAGUAAAAUAACAGCAAUUAUGCAUGGCUUACCUUGAUGAAGCCUAGUCGCAUUGUCAUGUAAUCUGUUUUGGUCACAGACCCAUAAAAUUGCUUGAAAAAUGCAAUCUGAAAAAGUAGGUAGGAGGAAGAUAAUUAAUUAUGAACUGUAUGAGUCCAGCACCACAUAAUUAUGGGAUUUGUAUUUUUGCUCAAAAUCGAUCUUAGAAAUUAAUUGAUACGUUUUUUUAGGAGAUGAAAUUGAUACGUUGGUAUGUAUGUAUAUAUGACAGAUCGUUUAAUUAAUAAGAUUUAAUUAAAUAUAAUCAAGCGAGAUGAUAGAGCGUUUCCACCAGUAAUCUAGUGAUCGAAUCGCGUAUAUAAUUCACAUUUGAACGAUCACUACUGGAAAAAAGCUCUUAGGAGACGGAAUUGUAAAUAGAACUUAGGAGACGGAAUAAGAUUCCAUAGCCUAAGUGACCAGUGACCACUUAAGCGACGGAACAAUAUUCCGUCUUCUAAGUUCUACUAAGGAGACAGAGUCAUUUUUAUUAAAAAAUAAAGAAAAAAUUUCAGUUUACCUCCCUAAUAUUUGGUGGCAAAAUCAGUUCAGUCCUGUAAUUUUUUUUUAAAUUAGUUCGCCCCUUCAACUUUCAUAAACACAUCAGUUUACUUUUUUUAAAAUUAGUUCGCCCCUUCAACUUUUGUAAACACAUCAGUUUUGUCCAAUUUUUGAAUUUCCCUUAAAAUAUGACGUCACAAAACUGACAAAGGGACCCAUUUUUAACAAAAAGUUGCAGGACUAAACUGAUUUUAACAUCAAAGAUUAGGGGGUAAACUGAAUUUAAAAAAAGUUAAAGGGGCGAACUGAUUUUAAAAAAAGUUGCAGGACUGAACUGAUUUUGACAUCAAAGAUUAAGGGGGUAAACUGAAUUUAAUUCAAAAAUAAAAUAGAAAUUAUUCACUUAGGCGACGGAACAAUAUUCCGUCUUCUAAGUUCUACUUAGCAGACAGAAAAUGUACUUAAGAGACAUAAUCAUUUUUAUAAAAAAUAAAAAAUAAAAAAUUUUAAUCACUUUAGCUACGAACAAAUAGGAAUCAGUCAUCUAAGUUCACAAAUUAUUAGCGGCAAUCUUUCCACUAAAAAAUUGAUAAAAAUUCAAACGAUUUUUUUUCAAAAAUUUCAAAAAUGGUAAAACCUAUCCCUAUCCAAUUAUAACUAACUCUAUCUUCUCAUCUCAUCUCAUCUCAUCUUUUCAAUCCCUUCUCUUCCUCUCCGGUCCCUUUUUCAAAACUCAAACCACCUCCAUCUCCAUAACCCAAUUUGAUUAUCUCAUUUCUUCUUCUUCCACAACUUCAUAUACUUCAAACCCCCUCUCUCUUUCUCACCCUCCACUAGGACGUCUCUCCCCCUCCUCCUCCCUCCUCCAUUUCCAUACCCACCGCCCUUUUUCCCCUCCACGCCACCGCCGCCAUCCUCUUGGAAUUCUAAGUCGAGCCUCCGUCCUCGAUCCUCAACCCUCCACCUCCGCCCUUGACCCUCCCCGCCAAGAAAGGGUCGUCGCCAUCCCGAUUCCUUUACACCUAGGCCGACGUCAAGCGUCUCCGGUCACUGCCACGGAUGUCGUCUAUGCUCUACGGUUUCGGGGGUUAAAUUGUUGGUUGUUAGUUAAGGGUUGGUUUCUAGGAUUUCAAUUUAGAUCUAUGUGUUAUGGAUAUUCUAUAAUAAACUUUGUUUGUUCACCAUCUAAUCUGCACCAUUGUUUUGAAGUAAUAGAAGUCUGAUUUCCCCAAAUUACUUUUGUUAAGUUUUGUAAUUUUUCUCUCUGUGAUUCUGUUAAUUGUGAUUGCAUUUUGAGAGAAUUGUCUCUUCAAUCAGAGAAUUGCAGAUUGUAGUUUUAUGGCAGGGAUCAUUUUCCAAGCUUUCAAGGUAGAACUCAGAGCAUGUCAGUAGUCUGGAUGGAAAAAUCGGUAUGACGUUGGAGACUAGAGCAGAAGACGAAGUCGGAUUGAGAUUUGGAAGAAAGCAGAGGCCGCCGUUUAUCAUAUUUUUUUAUAUAUUUCGUUUUAAGAAUUAGCGAUGGAAGAUUCUGUCACCUAAGAGUAUAAUUGUUUUUAAAAAGUCCGUCUCCUAUUAUCUUAGAAGACGAAACUAUUCCGUCUACUAGCGUCUCCUAAGAAUCACCUAGUAGACGGAAAUUCAAGUUUCGUCGCCUAGUUACCUACUUGAUGACACUUAGCCAACGGAUCUUAGUCGACGACCAUUCCGUCUCCUAAGUUCUUACGAGACCAAUUUUGUUACUUAGGAGAUGAAACCAUUUCGUCUCCUAAGUGCUAUUUUCCAGUAAUGAAUUAUGAUCAAGCGCGCGUUUACAAUGCCUGAUUUUUUCAUUUAAAAAAUAAUCAAAAUAAACUUUCACAAGCCAAAUUGAAAUGCUUUUUUAUUCAAGCAUUUUGAACCUAUUAAUUAAUAAGGCCAUUGUGGUGCCAACUUUGAAGGUUCAUGACUUGCUGCAGGUCUGCAUUUAUCAGAUACUCAUCUUUAACCAUAAGGUAAAUUUGUAGCGAAAUUUAGCUUGAAAAAUGAGAAUAUUCUAUGAAAUCUUAUUUAGCUUACCAAAUUCUCCCACCAUAAGCUAAAUCCCUAACUAAAAUAAUAAAAAGACUCCCACCAUAAGCCAAAUCCAAAGGUAAAGCUAUUUUCUUUUUCUUUUGUUAUAUAUUUGUUUAUUUAAUAAUUAAUCAUAAAAAAAAAUUAUAUUAAAUUUAUUCAAUAUGGGCCUCAUAUGAAAGGUCUCGUUGAGAUCUUCACGAUGAUUGUUAGUAGCAAUUUUUUAAUUUACAUGAUAAUGAAAAUUAAAAAGAAAAAGAUGAAGUUAAAUAAAAUAAUAUUUAAUUUUACUUACCGACUCCAUAAGCCAAAUUUGGCUUACCUUCAAGCUAAAUUUCUUUUCUUAGAGCAUCUUUAUCAGACUCUCUAUUUUAGCUUUUUAGCUAUUUUAGAGAGCGUGUUUAGCUUUUUGGGUAUUUUAGGAGCUCCAGCAAACUAGCUAAAAUUUAGUUAUUUUAACUUUUAGCUAUCUCGCUAGCUAAAUAUAGCUAGCUAGCUAGUGAGAUGUGAUUUUAUAAUUUAAUACAUUCCUUUAUAGCUAGCGUAGCUAGUGAGAUGUGACUCUAUAAUUUAAUACAUUUCUUUUAAGUUAUUUAAUGUGAUAUACAAAUAUAUAUAAACUAUUUAAUCUUCAUUUAUAGAAUAAUAUUAAUUUAAUAGUAACUAAAGUAGAGAGUAUUGAUGCAGACGUAUCUUAAAAGUCACUAGUCAAAAUGACAUUUUUUGCUAAUUUGACUAAAAUUUAACUCAAAAAUGACUAACAUUAGUAAAGAUGCUCUUAGAAUUUGUAAUUUAGCUUAAAGCAAGUCUGCCUAUAGCUUAAAAACAUGACCCUGACCUUCAUCCAUGUUAAAAGAAGACCUAGCAAAAAAUAAGCAAGUCCACCCACAAAUUUUUUUAUUUCUAUAGAUGGAGCCUAUUUUAAUUCUAAAAAUUCUACCAGAACAGGCGGUGCUAGUUUUGUGGUACGAGAUUCUUUUGGUAAGGUGUAUGUACGUAGGUGGUGACAUUCCCUUGAAAAGCUUGCAGUCUGCUGAACAUGCAGAACUGCUAGCUUGUUGUCAUGCCGUGGAUUUUGCUACCAACGAAGGCUUGUCACCUGUUAUUCUGGAAACAGAUGCCCAGGUUGUGCAAAACCAAAUUAAUGCUGCUCAUGUGCCUAAUAUGAGGACCUUAUGGUCCAAGAUAUCGAACCAGGCCGGGGUUAUAGCGCAUCUGCUAUGCUAACAGAAAGAGUAAUGAGGCUGCACAUUUGUUAGCUUCUUAUGCUUGCUCUUUAGAGGCAGGAGAGUUCUUUUUUCAGUUCUAAUUUUUCUACAAGCUGUAAUCACAGAUGACUUGUGUAUUGUUUAAUUUGUUUUAUAUGUUUCAAUAAAGAGUUGUCAUUCAUUCAAAAAUAAUAUACAUAGCCUUUAGUGUUAGCUAAACUACUGAGUUUUGAGUUUGUUCUUUUUUUUUUUUUCCCCAGAAAACAGCCAAGUUACUUUGUGCUGAGUUUUAAUAAUAAUAGCUAAUUACUAGCUAAAUUACCAAGUUACUAAAGUUACUAGCAUGACUCACCAACCAACCCAUAAAAGCUUGAUUCUUUCCAAUACCCAGAAAACGACCUCUGAUAAAAUCAUGGUCUUGAACGGCAGUGAAGUCCUUCUCUGUCAAAACUGCAAGAGCAUGCACGUGAAAAUUAAACAUAUAGAUUAAUU
rnacentral:lncRNA from 1 species